CCACUGCCCAGCAGUGAGAAGAGAUGGAUGUGUUACUGAAGGUGGCAAUCCAGUUACCCAUAUUUUGCCCACACAUCAACCACAACCCGACCCGCGAACGUUGUUCCACGGAGCUACGUUUUUCGCAUUGGAACAACGCCAACGCAGAGAAGUUCAACCAGCGCCGCCGGACGCUCCAUGAAAUCGAAGAGGAAAUUUGCCGCACUCGCCGCAACAUCGCGGCAGAUAACAUCAUUAACACUGUCACUACUGCCGCUGUUUCCCCCACUUCCGAAACUUUUAAAUCUCUCGGAACCCCCUCUGCACCGUCGCAACCUUCUAUUCUGGGGAAAAAAUCGAAAUACUCUAAACCACCUCCAAAACCGAAGUCCUUGCUUGAUUGGCAUCCCGUGGUUUCACGAGUAGAGAGACUUGAGUUUCAACCGGGGCCGGAAAAUGUGAAAAUCGGUGAGGAUGGAGUGUCUUACGUGGUCGAAGGCGCACCGUUCGACUUCAGGUUCAGUUACACGGAGACCCCGAAAGCGAAUCUGAUGAAAUUGCGGGAGCCACCAUUCGCACCGUUUGGACCGCCAACCUUGCCACGGCCAUGGACAGGGCGGAACCCAGUACCGCCGAGCCAGACAACUGUGAGAGAGUUCCACUUGCUCGAUCCGUCGCCAUCAGAUGAGAACGGAGCUGAACUAGUCCGUUUGGCCAUGCCGAUUUGGGAGUCGAGGGAGGAGGUGUUGGGAGAACCGUUGAGUAAGGAUGAGAUCAAUGGCUUAGUUAAGAGGGCGGAGAAAUCUUCGCGCCAACUACAUAUUGGCAGGGAUGGUUUGACACAUAACAUGUUGGAAAACAUACAUACAUAUUGGAUGAGGAGCACUGUGUGCAAGAUAAAAUGCAGAGGAGUGUGUACCGUCGACAUGGAUAAUGUGUGCCAGCAGUUAGAGGAAAGGACUGGGGGGAAAAUCAUUUACCGACAUUUUGGCACAGUGUACCUUUUCAGGGGGAGAAACUACAGCUAUGAAACACGACCACAAUUUCCUCUUAUGUGGUGGAGACCAGUGUCUCCAGUAUAUCCUAAGCUGAUUAAACGAGUUCCAAAAGGUUUAACACUUGACGAAGCAACUGAAAUGCGUCAAAAGGGAAGGGUCUUGAUGCCCAUCCGCAAACUAGCAAAAAAUGGUGUAUAUUGGGACCUUGUGACUAAUGUCAGAGAGGCAUUUGAACAAUGUGACCUUGUGCGAAUAAAUUGCCAAGAACUAAAUACAAGUGACUAUAAAAAGAUUGGAGCAAAACUAAAGGAUCUAGUUCCAUGUAUAUUGCUUUCAUUUGAAGAUGACCACAUACUUAUGUGGAGAGGACCAAAUUGGAGGCCCUCUUUACCAAAUCCCAGAGAUGAUGACACAAAAGCCACUAAAAUUAUCGUUGACAGUGGAAAUUCCAAUAAAUUGACUCUAGGUGUCCGAAAAUUAUCAGCGACGUGUCUACAAAACAAUAGAACUGAGCAUCUAUGCAGUGAACCUCUUGACACAAGGAUUUUAUCUAAUUCAGAUAAUUUGAGUUUGCACAAAACUGUGCUUUGUCUCACAGAAAAUAGCAAUCCACCUGUGUCUGAUGUUUCUGGUGCUGCUUCACUCCCUAUGAAAACAUGUGAAGUUGAAAUCACAGAAGAUGUCAUGGCCUUUUCUUGCACACCACAAAUGGUACCGGGUACCAAUAAAAGUUCUGCCAGCAUUGUAGCAGAUCCUCAUUCAAACAACUUUCUUGAUGGUUCAGAAGCAGAUGUUUGUGAGCCAUCAAGUUGUGCACCUUGUACAAAAGGACUUUUAUUGCUGUUGGACCAAGCUGUUGAGCAAGGCUGUGCUCUUGUUUUAGAUGAUAAAUUUUUGGAUGACGACUACAUUUAUCAAACCACUAUGGCUUUUUCUAAAUCAACUCCACCUGAACCUCUUUAUAAACUGUCAGACAGGUUAUGAUAGUAAGAAGUCACAAGAUUUGAAGUAAGAGUCAGAAUCCUUGUAAGUUCUAUCUCAAAUUUCUAUUUGUAUUAGUCAUUUGUUUUCUGUGCCACUAGAGUAGGUUAUCUAUUUCCACUUGUAUAAAAGGUGUCUAAUAUAAACAUUUUGGAAAUAACACUACUCCUUUAGUACAUAAUUACUUGUCUUGUGUUGACAUUUAAAUUUGUUCUAAAUAUUUGUUUUUAAGUCUUUAGGCUGCAUUUAGUUUUAGAUGAUGAGAUUUAGAAAAAAAGAAUUAAAAAAAAAGGGGGUUUUCUGUAAGGACCUUGUUUUCUUAAAGGGGUGGGGAAGCAUUUAAUGCUGGGGGACACUAGCUGCCAUAGGGGGAGUUGGGGUUUUGUUUUAUUUGGAAAAAUGGGGAGCAUGGGUGUUGAAAAACAGCAGCAAAGGGGGAGCAACGUUCGGGUUUUUUUUUCUCUCAUGAUGGGCACCCUUCAACAAAGCUGCAGACGUAGGAAAUAAAACGGGGUGCUGGGUGCUUAAUUGGGAGAGAAAAACUCUUGCUGCAAAUUGGUGAAGGAGGUGAAGUUCAGAGGUGCUGGAGUUGCAAAGAGGCCUUGGAUGGCAAGUCUUGCAGGAGAUUGAUUCAAGAAAGGUGUUCGGUGCUGCAUCUGGAGGAGUGCAAGACUUGCUGCAAAAAUCUGGGAGAGGAGAAGUGUCAGGCCUCAAAAAAAAAAAAAAAAAAAAAAAAAAAAAAAACGUGGCAGCCUGGGAGCGCGCCACCUCAGCGACGCACAUGGGCGACUGCAGCGACUGUCACCCACUAACGGACGCUCGCGGACGCACGUGGAGGUGAGUCAGAAACUGAUAGUGGAUUACACGUGUCCGGCUCUGAAUGAACGACCGUUCGGUAUGGGCACCAGAAGUGCUGAACGUGUGCCUGCCAGCGUGUAAAGUGCGGCAUGGGCAGUCAGAAUCCGAAAUGGAGAACAUGUGCAGGCCAGGCUGUGAACGUGCAUCCAGCAAACAAUGGGAGGCAAAAUCUAAGAGUUUCAGGACUUAUUCCCCACUCUCUGCACCCACCCUCAUUUUCGUUUCUGAAGAGAACCUUUCUCUCCUUCUUCUCUCUUCUUUUCUCUGCACUUUCUCUCUAAGAAAACACCCACGUUUUUUUUUUUUUUUUUUUUUUUUGAGGCCUGACACAGACACUGUAAAUCUUUUGGAGAAAGAUUCAAGGAAGUCUUCAAGAGUUGGGAGCUGUCCUUUGGCAUUCAGUGUACUUGGCUAUAUAUUUUGAUUUGGAGAAAUCAGAAGGUAACGUUGUUGAACAGAAGCUCUUGCAGAAUACUGUUUGUCAGAGGAAGUUCUCAGAAGCUAUAGUUCAAGUUCCCUUGCUUGGUCUCGUGAACAGGAGAGGCUCGCGUGUCGUGUGUCGAUAGUCGGAGCAAGCUCUCUUCGAGUUAGCAAGGUGCUCUGCCUGGUCUCGUGAACAGGAGAGGCUCGCGUGUCGUGUGUCGAUAGUCGGAGUGGUUCUCUUCGAGUUGGCAGAGUGUUCUUCUUUCGGUUCGUUCGUCGAAGGAAGCGAUGAUCAUCCACUUGGAUGGGAGCAGACGUUGUUGAGGAGAUCCCUUUGGAGCAAGAACUGGAGGAUACUAAGGUUGCGGAGUAGUCUUCUUAGGAGUUUCCCAUCUGAACACAUGUAGUGUUCGAAUCUUUAAACUGUUUAAGUUUGAAUUUUCGUUUCUUUUAUUUCUGGAUGACUGUAAUUUCACAUUUAAUUACACGUUAUGCUCCGACUGUUCUCUUUAUUGGAA